AACAGAAGUUUUAGGGCGUUGAUACUUCACCUUCUCCCUUUUGGGAGAUAUAAGGGGUGGCGUUCACAAUUUUGCUCCGUUGAAUUUAUAGUGUCAUUUGAAACUUCUGUCACCGGACUAGUAGGUAUAUCUUCUAAAUCCUCUUCUCCCAAAUCAACUUCUACUUCUUCACCUCCAAAUGACAACAUUUUCUAUCCUUAUCCUUA
rnacentral:misc_RNA from 1 species